rnacentral:rRNA from 1 species
GUCUCUUCGGGGAUGAUUAAACCGGCGCACGGGUGAGUAACACGUGAGUGACCUGCCUUUUAGACUGGAACAACUUACCGAAAGGUGAGCUAAUGCCGGAUGAGUUAUAUAAGUGCAUGUUUAUAUAGGAAAAGUUGGGGAGACCUGACGCUGAAAGAUGGACUCGCGUCCCAUUAGCUAGUUGGUAGGGUAAUGGCCUACCAAGGCGACGAUGGGUAGCCGGCCUGAGAGGGUGGCCGGCCACACUGGGACUGAGACACGGCCCAGACUCCUACGGGAGGCAGCAGUGGGGAAUUUUGCGCAAUGCUCGUAAGAGUGACGCAGCGACGCCGCGUGAAUGACGAAGGCCUUCGGGUCGUAAAGUUCUUUCGACAGGGAAGAAAAUGCCUAUAAGUAACUGUGUAUGUAUUGACGGUACCUGUAUAAGCAGCCCCGGCUAACUCCGUGCCAGCAGCCGCGGUAAUACGGAGGGGGCGAGCGUUGUUCGGAGUGACUGGGCGUAAAGAGCACGUAGGCGGUGUUGUAAGUCAUUAGUCAAAGACUAGAGCUCAACUUUAGUAAGGCUAGUGAUACUAUAAUACUAGAGUAUCAGAGAGGAUUGCAGAAUUCCUGGUGUAGCGGUGAAAUGCGUAGAUAUCAGGAGGAAUACCGUUAGCGAAGGCGGCAAUCUGGCUGGAAACUGACGCUGAGGUGCGAAAGCGUGGGUAGCAAACAGGAUUAGAUACCCUGGUAGUCCACGCUGUAAACGAUGGAUGCUAGGUGUUGGGCUUUUAAGUUCAGUGCCGCAGCAAACGCGAUAAGCAUCCCGCCUGGGGAGUACGUUUGCAAGAAUGAAACUC